GGGUUGUGAGGUUAAGCGACUAAGCGUACACGGUGGAUGCCCUGGCAGUCAGAGGCGAUGAAGGACGUGCUAAUCUGCGAAAAGCGCCGGCGAGGUGAUAUGAACCUUUGACCCGGCGAUGUCCGAAUGGGGAAACCCAGUGUGAUUCGUCACACUAUCGUUAACUGAAUACAUAGGUUAACGAGGCGAACCGGGGGAACUGAAACAUCUAAGUACCCCGAGGAAAAGAAAUCAACCGAGAUUCCCCCAGUAGCGGCGAGCGAACGGGGAGCAGCCCAGAGUCUGAAUCAGCUUGUGUGUUAGUGGAAGCGUCUGGAAAGUCGCACGGUACAGGGUGACAGUCCCGUACACGAAAAUGCACAGGUUGUGAACUCGAAGAGUAGGGCGGGACACGUGGUAUCCUGUCUGAAUAUGGGGGGACCAUCCUCCAAGGCUAAAUACUCCUGACUGACCGAUAGUGAACCAGUACCGUGAGGGAAAGGCGAAAAGAACCCCGGCGAGGGGAGUGAAAAAGAACCUGAAACCGUGUACGUACAAGCAGUGGGAGCACCUUCGGGUGUGACUGCGUACCUUUUGUAUAAUGGGUCAGCGACUUAUAUUCUGUAGCAAGGUUAACCGUAUAGGGGAGCCGAAGGGAAACCGAGUCUUAACUGGGCGUUAAGUUGCAGGGUAUAGACCCGAAACCCGGUGAUCUAGCCAUGGGCAGGUUGAAGGUUGGGUAACACUAACUGGAGGACCGAACCGACUAAUGUUGAAAAAUUAGCGGAUGACUUGUGGCUGGGGGUGAAAGGCCAAUCAAACCGGGAGAUAGCUGGUUCUCCCCGAAAGCUAUUUAGGUAGCGCCUCGUGAACUCAUCUUCGGGGGUAGAGCACUGUUUCGGCUAGGGGGCCAUCCCGGCUUACCAACCCGAUGCAAACUACGAAUACCGAAGAAUGUUAUCACGGGAGACACACGGCGGGUGCUAACGUCCGUCGUGAAGAGGGAAACAACCCAGACCGCCAGCUAAGGUCCCAAAGUCAUGGUUAAGUGGGAAACGAUGUGGGAAGGCACAGACAGCCAGGAUGUUGGCUUAGAAGCAGCCAUCAUUUAAAGAAAGCGUAAUAGCUCACUGGUCGAGUCGGCCUGCGCGGAAGAUGUAACGGGGCUAAACCAUGCACCGAAGCUGCGGCAGCGACACUAUGUGUUGUUGGGUAGGGGAGCGUUCUGUAAGCCGUUGAAGGUGUGCUGUGAGGCAUGCUGGAGGUAUCAGAAGUGCGAAUGCUGACAUAAGUAACGAUAAAGCGGGUGAAAAGCCCGCUCGCCGGAAGACCAAGGGUUCCUGUCCAACGUUAAUCGGGGCAGGGUGAGUCGACCCCUAAGGCGAGGCCGAAAGGCGUAGUCGAUGGGAAACAGGUUAAUAUUCCUGUACUUGGUGUUACUGCGAAGGGGGGACGGAGAAGGCUAUGUUAGCCGGGCGACGGUUGUCCCGGUUUAAGCAUGUAGGCGGAACGAUUAGGUAAAUCCGGUCGUUUAUUAACGCUGAGGUGUGAUGACGAGGCACUACGGUGCUGAAGUAACAAAUGCCCUGCUUCCAGGAAAAGCCUCUAAGCAUCAGGUAACAUUAAAUCGUACCCCAAACCGACACAGGUGGUCAGGUAGAGAAUACCAAGGCGCUUGAGAGAACUCGGGUGAAGGAACUAGGCAAAAUGGUGCCGUAACUUCGGGAGAAGGCACGCUGAUAUGUAGGUGAAGCCCCUGCGGGUGGAGCUGAAAUCAGUCGAAGAUACCAGCUGGCUGCAACUGUUUAUUAAAAACACAGCACUGUGCAAACACGAAAGUGGACGUAUACGGUGUGACGCCUGCCCGGUGCCGGAAGGUUAAUUGAUGGGGUUAGCGGCAACGCGAAGCUCUUGAUCGAAGCCCCGGUAAACGGCGGCCGUAACUAUAACGGUCCUAAGGUAGCGAAAUUCCUUGUCGGGUAAGUUCCGACCUGCACGAAUGGCGUAAUGAUGGCCAGGCUGUCUCCACCCGAGACUCAGUGAAAUUGAACUCGCUGUGAAGAUGCAGUGUACCCGCGGCAAGACGGAAAGACCCCGUGAACCUUUACUAUAGCUUGACACUGAACACUGGUCCUUGAUGUGUAGGAUAGGUGGGAGGCUUUGAAGUGUGGACGCCAGUCUGCAUGGAGCCGUCCUUGAAAUACCACCCUUUAAUGGCUGGUGUUCUAACGUAGACCCGUGAUCCGGGUUGCGGACAGUGUCUGGUGGGUAGUUUGACUGGGGCGGUCUCCUCCCAAAGAGUAACGGAGGAGCACGAAGGUUAGCUAAUCCUGGUCGGACAUCAGGAGGUUAGUGCAAUGGCAUAAGCUAGCUUGACUGCGAGAGUGACGGCUCGAGCAGGUGCGAAAGCAGGUCAUAGUGAUCCGGUGGUUCUGAAUGGAAGGGCCAUCGCUCAACGGAUAAAAGGUACUCCGGGGAUAACAGGCUGAUACCGCCCAAGAGUUCAUAUCGACGGCGGUGUUUGGCACCUCGAUGUCGGCUCAUCACAUCCUGGGGCUGAAGUAGGUCCCAAGGGUAUGGCUGUUCGCCAUUUAAAGUGGUACGCGAGCUGGGUUUAGAACGUCGUGAGACAGUUCGGUCCCUAUCUGCCGUGGGCGCUGGAGAAUUGAGGGGGGCUGCUCCUAGUACGAGAGGACCGGAGUGGACGCAUCACUGGUGUUCGGGUUGUCAUGCCAAUGGCACUGCCCGGUAGCUAAAUGCGGAAAAGAUAAGUGCUGAAAGCAUCUAAGCACGAAACUUGCCCCGAGAUGAGUUCUCCCUGAGACUUUAAGUCUCCUGAAGGAACGUUGAAGACGACGACGUUGAUAGGUCGGGUGUGUAAGCGCAGCGAUGCGUUGAGCUAACCGAUACUAAUGAACCGUGAGGCUUAACCUUACAACGCCGAAG
rnacentral:rRNA from 1 species